rnacentral:misc_RNA from 1 species
UCAUAGCCCUGAUCGAAGUAUUUGUCUGAGCUCAUUUUCUAGAAUCGGCGGCGGCUUUGCCGCCGCCGAUUCUAGAAAAUAGCGAGUACGGAGAGCAGGAAACAUC